CAGUCGCCACGGGAAUACGGAGGGCGCGAGCGUUACCCGGAUUUACUGGGCGUAAAGGGCGUGUAGGCGGCCUGGGGCGUCCCAUGUGAAAGGCCACGGCUCAACCGUGGAGGAGCGUGGGAUACGCUCAGGCUAGAGGGUGGGAGAGGGUGGUGGAAUUCCCGGAGUAGCGGUGAAAUGCGCAGAUACCGGGAGGAACGCCGAUGGCGAAGGCAGCCACCUGGUCCACUUCUGACGCUGAGGCGCGAAAGCGUGGGGAGCAAACCGGAUUAGAUACCCCUGUAGUCCCUGUCUCUUAUAA
rnacentral:rRNA from 1 species